GCACCCAUGGCGCAGCGGUUAACGCGUUCGUUUUGGAAAUUUCGAUCCGGGGUUCGAAUCCGGAUGGUCCCA